rnacentral:rRNA from 1 species
ACUCCUACGGGAGGCAGCAGUGGGGAAUAUUGCACAAAUGGGCGCAAGCCUGAUGCAGCCAUGCCGCGUGUGUGAAGAAGGCCUUCGGGUUGUAAAGCACUUUCAGUUGUGGAGGAAGGUGUGUCGUUAANAGCCGGCAUCAUUUGACGUUAGCAACAGAAGAAGCACCGGCUAACUCCGUGCCAGCAGCCGCGGUAAUACGGAGGGUGCGAGCGUUAAUCGGAAUUACUGGGCGUAAAGCGCAUGCAGGUGGCUUUGUUAAGUCAGAUGUGAAAGCCCGGGGCUCAACCUCGGAACUGCAUUUGAAACUGGCAGACUAGAGUACUGGUAGAGGGGGUAGAAUUUCAGGUGUAGCGGUGAAAUGCGUAGAGAUCUGAAGGAAUACCGGUGGCGAAGGCCGGCCCCCUGGACAGAUACUGACACUCAGAUGCGAAAGCGU